UGCAGCCGCCGCGGUAACACCGGCAGCCAAGUGGUGGCCGCUUUUAUUGGGCCUAAGGCGUCCGUAGCCGGCCAGGUAAGUCCCUGUGUAAAUCUUCAGGCUUAACUUGAAGAAUUGCGGGGAUACUGCUUGGCUUGGGGCCGGAAGACGUGGAGGGUACUCCGGGGGUAGCGGUGAAAUGCUGUAAUCCUCGGGGGACCACCAGUGGCGAAGGCUCUCCACGAGGACGGGCCCGACGGUGAGGGACGAAAGCCAGGGGCGCGAACGGGAUUAGAUACCCCGGUAGUCCUGGCCGUAAACGCUGCAGGCUUGGUGUUGCACGCUCUACGGGGGCGUGCAGUGCCGAAGCGAAGGCGAUAAGCCUGCCGCCUGGGAAGUACGCUCGCAAGAGUGAAACUCAAAGGAAUUGGCGG
rnacentral:rRNA from 1 species